rnacentral:rRNA from 1 species
UACGUAGGGUGCAAGCGUUAAUCGGAAUUACUGGGCGUAAAGCGUGCGCAGGCGGCUAUGCAAGACAGAUGUGAAAUCCCCGGGCUCAACCUGGGAACUGCAUUUGUGACUGCAUGGCUAGAGUACGGUAGAGGGGGAUGGAAUUCCGCGUGUAGCAGUGAAAUGCGUAGAUAUGCGGAGGAACACCGAUGGCGAAGGCAAUCCCCUGGACCUGUACUGACGCCCAUGCACGAAAGCGUGGGGAGCAAACAGG